rnacentral:misc_RNA from 1 species
CUUAAAGCUUACUGGGCGAUGCGCGGAAACUUUAUUAAUCAUCAAUGCGUAAUAAUUGUGUCCCUUUAGAGGGCUGGCACGAGCCUAGAAGUCAUUUUGCUGUGAGUGCUGGUGCAAGAAAGGGACUACAGGCCGCGUUGAUAGGUCCUUGUGGUAGGAUAUUGACUGUUUCGUCUGCCGAUGACCAUGAGACAACCCAAAUGCGGUACAAAACGCCCGCUGCGAGGGUUACUGGACUGACUGCGGAUGAUCCUGGGGAUGAAGUGCCAGAGUUAGUAUCGGGCGACAGCUAA